rnacentral:rRNA from 1 species
UCGAUGUGGGGACAUUUGGCACCUCGAUGUAAGUCCAUUGCAAUCCGGGGCGGAAGUA